ACAGUUUUGCUUAUGAUUUCCAGAGGCAUAAGCAAAAAAUAACCCAGGCCACGUUAGCCUUGCACAAUAAGCUAAAUUACGCUUUGCUUGAACGAGUCAACUAAUUCCAUCUGCUCAGAGAAUUUUCAAGGCUGGUGUCUAUAUGUUUUUGAUAUUCCCAAUAUCACAUAUACAUGAUGCAUAUGUGUGUGACAUACCUCACAGUAACGAUGUAUAGCUGCAAGUGAUUAAAAACAAAAGGAAACAAGGCACCAUCCCUUCCCCGCAAGAUGCUCAGUGUUCCAGCGUGAUGAGUAAGCCCAGCAGGCUCUGAUAGUGCUGGUGGCUCUGUCUGUCUGGCUUAGUCCACUUAUCCUGACGUGAUCUUGUGCUCAGGUUGCAAAUGAAAAGGCUCCGCCAGGCUCAUCGACCCGGGCUGCAUGCAUUUGGAGCUUCAUGCCUACAAGCUCAAAUUGGGAUAUUUUACUGCUUUUAAAUGACGCGUGAUGAAGUGGUUGAAGACAUCAUUACAAGGAAUAAAAUCCAGCUGGGAGUGGGAUAUUAUUAACUACUUCGUACUUCCAGCUCUUGUGGGGGUGCUUAGUACUUGUACUGAAGAACUGCAGGGAAGCCGUGUCUAUUGCAAUAAAGGCUGUGUGUAGAGAAACAGUGGUGCCAUGACCAUAACAUAGACAUACAUGUUCAGGAAACCAGCGAGUGGGAGAGAGUCAGUGGAGGGUCCAGCUCUCCGCUGCAUUUUAGUGACUUAAUUAGCAUUCACUGAACCCUGGUAAAGAGGUUCUCCAUUUUCGCUGAAUAUUAGGAUCACCUGGGGAGCUUUUUAAACCAUCAGACUCGGGGCAGGAGCGCUCCAGGGAUUUCGAUGUAAUAUUUCUGGUUGGAGCCAGGCACCGGUGGUUUUUUUUAAAACGCCCAGAUGAUUCUAAUGGAGAGCCACAGACGAGAACAAAUGGCUUGGUACUUGAGGAGCAAAUAUCAAUUAGCAAGACACCUUUGUUGAUCCUCCGCCUUUUUAACGGUGCCCACGUGGGGGAUCGCCGUGAGCGGGAAAGAGGAAGCAACAGGCCGGAGAAUGCAAGGGAGGCCCAGCAACAGUAUCCUCACUGCUCCUUUGGGCUUUAAAACUCUCCUUACAGAAGUCCCUGUGUCCAGAUCCAGCCACAAACUUUGGAUAAUACAAGAAAGAAACCUCAAUUAAACCUAGUGUUUGGGGUCACCACAAGUCACCCAAGCAGGGAUGUAAAGAGGAUUUAACUUUUUGGAUGAAGAGCAGGCUCUACUCUAGGACAGCCUUGGCGACAUCUGGUGAUUCUGUAACCUGACAUCAGUUUUUCAGAUCAAGUGCACUUUCCUAG